UUUCUUCCCUGUGUAAAAUAUCGGACGGCGCCGAUAAUGCGAAUUCCGUAAAGGGGAAAAUUAGGAUAUCCUGUUAUGAGCUUUUGAGAUUCUCUUAUAAAUAGGAAAAUCCUAUCUCAUAUUUAGUUCAUUGAGAAGUUCACUCAUCUCGUAGUAACCAACGCAAUGAUGUUCAACACAAAAAUGAUUUUUAUCACAUUUGUUCUGAUGGUGACCCUAUUUGGAUUAGGCAUAUCUUCUCCUCACUUUGACGGCAACAUUUUGGACAAUGAUCCCUCUGCGUAUAUCGCGGAAAAUCAGCAAUUUGAGAAAAGCAUCAAGAAAAAAUUAGGAGGCGGCAAGAAAUGUGGCUAGAAUAAUUCACAUAUUCAUUUUCGUAGGCGAUUUUCUUGACUACUAAAUUGUCCAUAAACGUGUUUUAUUGCAGCAUAACAA